AUGUAUGUAUAUAUGUGUGUGUAUGUAUAUGUGUGUGUAUAUAUAUAUAUACAUACACACCUACACACAUACACA
rnacentral:miRNA from 11 species